rnacentral:rRNA from 1 species
AUGGGUAAGGAUAAGGUAAUGGAAUUGAUAGAGAAAUUCAUAGACCUAGGUAGGAUAGGAAAAUUGAUAAAGGGAAUAGAGAUGAUGAUAGAGAUCAUACUGAGAAAGAGGAUAAUUCCGUACGGGUACAACUCUUAUUUGAACGAAGUGCAAAAAAUGCGAUCUUUUUUGUCUAAUAGAACAAACACUAAUACCUUAAUUGAGUCGGUAAAGAUCAAAUCUGUUUAUCAAAGUGCUUCUCUGAUUGCUCAAGACAUCUCUUUUCAACUGAGGAACAAUCCAAUCUCAUUUCGUUCCAUUUUUAGUAAAAUAGUGAAGGAUAUUCCAUUAAUAAUGCCAAAAGGGGUGGAGGGGAUACGUAUUUGUUGUUCUGGUCGAUUAGGGGGUGCGGAAAUAGCUAGAACUGAAUGCGGAAAGUAUGGAAAAACAUCUUGUAAUGUAUUUAACCAGAAAAUCGAUUAUGCUCCUGCGGAAGUAUCUACUCGUAACGGAAUUUCAGGUGUCAAAGUGCGGAUCUCAUAUAGUCAAAAUAAGAAGGGACGUGCUAUAUCCAAAAUGUACGAAAUAUAG